GCACUUAAUUCAUUCCUCUUUAAUGUAGAAAAGGUGCUUAUUAUGGGAAGCGAGUGAAUAUGCUAACUUUUACAUGUAAAGAUUGCAUCUGAAGCCACUCUCCAAAUCAACAAAUUUCAGAGGGAAAAACACCGAGCUCAGGGCUGUUCAUUAGUGCAGCACGCUGAGGUGGGCUGUCAGGCCUACACCCCUGGGCCUCCUUAGAGGUGAAUCCACAUCGCAGCAAAGCCUUUCCGCCAGUCAGCAAGUACCCCCACCCCAGGAGCGGAGUCUACGGCUACACACCAUCUACUAAAUUCUGCGUUACAGCGAGUGUAACUGUCCACGGCCUUCUACUGAAAAGUAACUACAUCUUAUCUACUCAUCUCCAGAACCCUGAAAUAGAAGCA